AACGAACGCUGGCGGCAGGCCUAACACAUGCAAGUCGAGCGCAGUCCUUCGGGACCGAGCGGCGGACGGGUUAGUAACGCGUGGGAACGUACCCUUUUCUAAGGAAUAGCCUCGGGAAACUGAGAGUAAUACCUUAUACGCCCUUAGGGGGAAAGAUUUAUCGGAGAAGGAUCGGCCCGCGUUAGAUUAGAUAGUUGGUGGGGUAAUGGCCUACCAAGUCUACGAUCUAUAGCUGGUUUUAGAGGAUGAUCAGCAACACUGGGACUGAGACACGGCCCAGACUCCUACGGGAGGCAGCAGUGGGGAAUCUUAGACAAUGGGCGCAAGCCUGAUCUAGCCAUGCCGCGUGAGUGAUGAAGGCCUUAGGGUCGUAAAGCUCUUUCGCCAGAGAUGAUAAUGACAGUAUCUGGUAAAGAAACCCCGGCUAACUCCGUGCCAGCAGCCGCGGUAA
rnacentral:rRNA from 1 species